rnacentral:pre_miRNA from 1 species
AAUAGUUUAAUGCCAUAUCAGUAUUCUUAUCCUGAAUUUCAGGAUUUUAUCCUGAAAAAAAAUUAAAUCUAAAUUAAAAUCCUGAAAUUCAGGAUUUUAAUACGAAUAUGGCAUAAAAUUAUU